GGCGUGGUAGCUCAGUUGGUGAGAGCGUCGGAUUCAUAACCCGGAGGUCGGCGGUUCGAUUCCGCCCCACGCUA
rnacentral:tRNA from 3 species